rnacentral:rRNA from 5 species
AAACUUUCAACAACGGAUCUCUUGGUUCUGGCAUCGAUGAAGAACGCAGCGAAAUGCGAUACGUAAUGUGAAUUGCAGAACUCAGUGAAUCAUCGAAUCUUUGAACGCACAUUGCGCCCGCCAGUAUUCUGGCGGGCAUGCCUGUUCGAGCGUCAUUU